rnacentral:rRNA from 1 species
UGAGGAAUAUUGGUCAAUGGACGGAAGUCUGAACCAGCCAUGCCGCGUGCAGGAUGACUGCCCUAUGGGUUGUAAACUGCUUUUAUAUAGGAAGAAACCCCCUUACGUGUAAGGGGCUGACGGUACUAUAAGAAUAAGGACCGGCUAACUCCGUGCCAGCAGCCGCGGUAAUACGGAGGGUCCAAGCGUUAUCCGGAUUUAUUGGGUUUAAAGGGUACGUAGGCGGAUGAUUAAGUCAGUAGUGAAAGCCCAUCGCUCAACGAUGGAACUGCUAUUGAUACUGAUUAUCUUGAAUAUAGUUGAAGUAGGCGGAAUACGGCAUGUAGCGGUGAAAUGCAUAGAUAUGCCGU